GGCCCUACGGGGGGCAGCAGUGGGGAAUAUUGCACAAUGGGGGAAACCCUGAUGCAGCAACGCCGCGUGAAGGUAGACGGUUUUCGGAUUGUAAACUUCUUUUCUUAGUGAAAAAGCAAGUGACGGUAGCUAAGGAAUAAGCAUCGGCUAACUACGUGCCAGCAGCCGCGGUAAUACGUAGGAUGCGAGCGUUAUCCGGAAUUACUGGGUGUAAAGGGAGCGCAGGCGGGACUGCAAGUUGGGUGUGAAAUACCGCAGCUUAACUGCGGAGCUGCGUCCAACACUGUAGUUCUUUAGUG
rnacentral:rRNA from 1 species